AGAGUUUGAUUAUGGCUCAGGACGAACGCUGGCGGCGUGCUUAACACAUGCAAGUCGAACGGGAGUAUUGAAGAAGCUUGCUUAGAGAUACUUUAGUGGCGGACGGGUGAGUAACGCGUGAGGAGCUGUCCUAUGCAGGGGGACAACAGCUGGAAACGGCUGCUAAUACCCCAUAAGCCGAGAGGUAAAAGGAUCAAUCCGGCAGAGGAGGUACUCGCGUCCUAUCAGCUAGUAGGUGAGGUAACGGCUCACCUAGGCGAAGACGGGGUAGCCGGCCUGAGAGGGCGAACGGCCACACUGGAACUGAGAUACGGUCCAGACUCCUACGGGAGGCAGCAGUGGGGAAUAUUGGGCAAUGGGGGGAAACCCUGACCCAGCGACGCCGCGUGGGUGAAGAAAUCCUUCGGGAUGUAAAGCCCUGUUGUAUGGGAAGAGCGGAAGACGGUACCAUACGAGGAAGCCCCGGCAAACUACGUGCCAGCCGCGGC
rnacentral:rRNA from 1 species